GAUGAACGCUGGCGGCGUGCCUAAUACAUGCCAGUCGAGCGAACAGACGAGGAGCUUGCUCCUCUGACGUUAGCGGCGGACGGGUGAGUAACACGUGGAUAACCUACCUAUAAGACUGGGAUAACUUCGGGAAACCGGAGCUAAUACCGGAUAAUAUAUUGAACCGCAUGGUUCAAUGGUGAAAGACGGUUUUGCUGUCACUUAUAGAUGGAUCCGCGCCGCAUUAGCUAGUUGGUAAGGUAACGGCUUACCAAGGCAACGAUGCGUAGCCGACCUGAGAGGGUGAUCGGCCACACUGGAACUGAGACACGGUCCAGACUCCUACGGGAGGCAGCAGUAGGGAAUCUUCCGCAAUGGGCGAAAGCCUGACGGAGCAACGCCGCGUGAGUGAUGAAGGUCUUCGGAUCGUAAAACUCUGCUAUUAGGGAAGAACAAAUGUGUAAGUAACUAUGCACGUCUUGACGGUACCUAAUCAGAAAGCCACGGCUAACUACGUG
rnacentral:rRNA from 1 species